rnacentral:misc_RNA from 1 species
AAUUAUGUCACAAAAUUAACAACAAAACGAUGUCUUCCAAAUAAAAAUCAAAUCAAAUAAAUUGUGAGAGUAUCUUAAGAAAGAUCGGCUUCCGACUGCCACAUUAGAAUUGACAGUCGAGCACAGGGGAUCAACUACGUUUUCGAAUCCAUAAAUCAUCUGACUACUUCUCAAAAAUGCAUCUCUUAAAGACGAAACCGAUGUCUAUGCAUCUUAUCAGUUCACUGGGAAAUGUAACAAAUCACACCGAGGCGGAACUGGGUUAGUGAUAUCCCCCCCUUCCUCUUCCCCUUCCGCGAAAACCUCCACGAAAACCCCUUCCUCUGCCUCUUCCUCUUGAACUUCUCCCUCCAUAUGAUAGUCCUUGAAAAGCUCUAUCAACGAGCUGGUUCUGCAUGCUACCACCUCCCCGGCCCUUCUUUGGUCCAGAACUAGUGGAACCAUUAAUAGCACCAGCGGGUCGUUUUACUCCAGUUGAAGCUGCAGUCAUUGGUGUGGCAGAUUUCACAACUUCCUUCCAAGAAAGGUUGAUUUUUUUGUCCCCAAUGAAUGAAGGUGUUUUUGCAUGUAAUGGCUGUGCCAUAGACAGUAUAUUAUUGCAAGUUCUCAGCCCUGUAGUAGUAUUCUGCUUUUGAGCCUUAAUUUUUUCCUUUUCUUCAUCAGAUUUAGCAUCAGCAAAUGCUUUAUUGUGCUCCACCAUCCCUUGAGUUAAUUUCUUAAUGGUAGCCCUAGCAAGCUCUUCAACACAGUUUAACCUCUCUGUGAACUCUUUGUAAUUCUCCGAGAAGUCUUCCCCAAGCCUAUCAGAUGGCUGUCCAGUCACAAUCUUGUAACCACAUAAGCUAUUGGUGGCAUUUGGCGCCUUGUGAGCUAAAUGGUGAAAAGUAUACAGCAAACACUCAACAUAAGUAAAG